AGAAAAGAAAAAAAAAGAAAAAAAAUUCGUGGAAAAAAAAAUGAAGAAAAAGUAUGAAAAGUAUGAAAAAAAGAGUUGAAAAGUUGAGAAAAAGAGUUUCAAAGUAUUGUUUGUGAAGUAAGGGUCCAAAACAAUGAAUUCGGCCCUAAGGAGUUGUUUAAAUCUUCCCCUUGUGUUUUAAAGUUAAUUUCUGCACUCUAAGUGAAUUCUAAGUCUCAAUUUCAUUGCUUUGCUUACUAUUGCUUGAAGAACGUUUGUUUUCCUUAUCCUUUCCUUGUUAACCAACACCCCAAGCCCCAUUACAACCCUUAACUUCUAUCUUGAAUGUUAUGUGUUUCAAUUUGUGGAGUUUGAAUUUGGUAUGAGCAUAUGGUGUCACUGGUUCUCGCAUCUAAGUAGUAGCAUUCCAUUCAUGAGAUCAUAUCUAAACAUGCUUCUUAACUCUAGAAAUUGCGUUCUUUGUGAUACAUAUAUGUGAGCAUUCGUUUCAUUUCUACAUCAAUCUUCUCACAUAUGACUAGUGUAGGGUGUGGAGUUAGAAAAUCUGAGUGAAAAUAGAGUGUAUAUCUUGUAAGGAAUUGAGGGAAUUCUCUAAGGCAUGUUACUACAUUCAAAGCAUUGUUUUGAUUGAUUACUUGUGAAUUAGUAAGUGGUGGCUUUAAUUAAGUAUGUGCUUGUGUAAAGAUGACUCAAAUGUGUGGGGAUAACAAUCUUUAACAUGUCAUGUGCAUUGGAAAUCCCUGAGGCAAACGUUGGAAGGUUUAGGUUUUGUUUUGGUUAGUUUGUUUCGUUUUGUUUUCUUUCUUUGUUUGUUUUGCUCGAGGACUAGCAAAAGCUAAGUGUGGGGGAAUUUGAUAGGAGCAUAUUUAUGCGCCUUAGUUAGCUAGUUCUUAUGCACUUUUGUAUGUUUUCUUUGUUAAAAUAGUCUUUUAAGCUACUUUCUUGUGUUUUCAGGUUUAGCGGACGUAUUACAUGAAAUGAUGCAAUUGGGAGCUUUUGGAGCAAAAAGUGAGCUUGAAUUGAAAAAGGACAUGCUUGGAACGCAAGGUUUGGGAUGGAAUUGAAGAAUUGAAGAUUUGAGGUUUCCUACUUGAAGUAGGAAAGCUA
rnacentral:lncRNA from 1 species